AUAUUUACUUGGCAGGGGAGAUACCAUGAUCAUGAAGGUGGUUCUCCCAGGGCGAGGUUUAUCCAUUGCACUCCGGGUGUGCUGACCCCUGGGAUUUUCCCAAAUGUGGGAAACUCGACUUUGUAAUUUGUGGUAGUGGGACUGCGUUCGCGCUUUCCCCU
rnacentral:snRNA from 10 species